rnacentral:rRNA from 1 species
UGGCGGACGGGUGAGUAAUGUCUGGGAAACUGCCUGAUGGAGGGGGAUAACUACUGGAAACGGUAGCUAAUACCGCAUAACGUCGCAAGACCAAAGAGGGGGACCUUAGGGCCUCUUGCCAUCGGAUGUGCCCAGAUGGGAUUAGCUAGUAGGUGGGGUAAAGGCUCACCUAGGCGACGAUCCCUAGCUGGUCUGAGAGGAUGACCAACCACACUGGAACUGAGACACGGUCCAG